UCAUCUCUCCUAGGCUUUGCACAGCUUGAGGUGUAUGCCGGGAAGAGCAUUCGAAUGCGAGGCGGUUGGUGCGGUUGUUGAAGUCGCGUUUGUGCAGUGCUGCUAUUCGUUUCAUCGAUUUAACCAGGUUUUACGCUCCGCGCUUUGUUAACGUGCCUGGUCUAAUCGUGUUGUGUACGUGAGUGGCGUGUAACUAGUGAUACAGCAAGCAAGGACAGUCAUUAACGUGCGCGAUCCGCCGCAAAUAAGCCACGAUGCAUUGCAACGGGCACGUUCAGUGGGCUGCGCGGCCGUUGCGACGAGCUGCAUUGCUGAUUCUUCGCUUGCCUGAGACUCGCAAUUGUCGAGCGGGUUGCAUCCGUUGUUACGUUGCCCGAAGACCGCAGUAAAUGUGAUUUGCAGGGUGCAAGCAACGUGUCAUUGUGGUUAGAAAAAAUGAAUCAGUAUACAUGUGAUUUAACUGUCAAAGCCGGAAUGUUUAAAGCAUACAUCCCGCCCAAGGCAUGCUGGGAUGAUCUACUAUCAGGCAGCUUGGAAGCUUCCAGACGCCGAUAUGCCUUACGUUCGGUGCAGCCGAGGUUGUGAACUGUCAAGUGGAAGAUGCCCCUUGAGGAAAACAAUUAGGAUCGACUGUCCAGCGUGGAGAUUGCGGAAUCAGCAGCUGACAUAUUGACUGAUGAAACAUGAUGGUGCGUGCAGCAAGAGAGGGUUUGACUGCAGAUCCUGACCACCUGCUCCUGUAAAUUUGUACCAACCACAGGCGAAAACAAGGGGAAACGCUUUGAAUACUUGCGGUCUUCUAUCAGCUAGACAAGUCCCUGAAGCUAUAAAUCAAUAAACUGAUGUAUUCUGCU